rnacentral:misc_RNA from 1 species
AUACCAUUUACAUGCAAGCUCUAAUAUUAAAUUAUAGUACAUCAAUACAAUAUAUACAAAGAGUUGCUGGGUCUUCCUGCUCACAAGAUUUUGAAGAACCUGCUAUUCACUCCUGCCCUGUACAGAUGCAGCUCAGAUGCAGUUGUUAUGCUAAUGUCAAUGUUGGCAGGUGCAAACAGGACAUCUCCUUCAGUAACAAGCUCUUUGGAUGAUCCUGUAUGCAUUUUUCCCUCCCCAGCUGUGAUCACAAAUAUUGAAGGACCUGGGACUGCAGGGAACAUUGUUGAUGCCCCUCUAGGAAGAACACAGCUAUCAACCUCAAAUUCAUCAAAAGGUGGGAGGUAUCUUUUUAUAUACGGACUCAGAGGUAAUCCUUUCAGGAUUUCAGGGAAGCCCUGUUUGUAUGUGAGCAUGGAACAGAGUGUUUGGACAUCCCGAUGCUUGGGAGUAAGGCCAGCCC